CGCUGGGAAACCCUUGGGGGUUGAGGGUGGGCUACCAGGGGACGUGCUUCACGGAUUCCCGCGACCAGGAAGCGCGUUCUCGGAGCUUGUCGUGCUUGUGGCAGAAACACUGAGGAUUGAAAAGUGAACAUUAGGAAGAGUAUCUUCAGAAGUCUUUCUCAG